GAUGAAGAACGUAGCGAAAUGCGAUAAGUAAUGUGAAUUGCAGAAUUCAGUGAAUCAUCGAAUGUUUGAACGCACAUUGCGUCCGCCAGUAUUCUGGCGGGCAUGCCUGUCUGAGCGUCAUUUCAACCCUCAUGCCCCUAGGGCGUGGUGUUGGGGAUCGGCCAAAGCCCGCGAGGGACGGCCGGCCCCUAAAUCUAGUGGCGGACCCGUCGUGGCCUCCUCUGCGAAGUAGUGAUAUUCCGAAUCGGAGAGCGAUGAGCCCCUGCCGUUAAACCCCCAACUUUCCAAGGUUGACCUCAGAUCAGGUAGGAAUACCCGCUGAACUUAAGCAUAUCAAUAAGCGGAGGA
rnacentral:misc_RNA from 1 species